UGGGGAAUAUUGCACAAUGGGCGCAAGCCUGAUGCAGCGACGCCGCGUGGGGGAUGACGGCCUUCGGGUUGUAAACCCCUUUCAGCACAGACGAAGCGCAAGUGACGGUAUGUGCAGAAGAAGGACCGGCCAACUACGUGCCAGCAGCCGCAGUAAUACGUAGGGUCCGAGCGUUGUCCGGAAUUACUGGGCGUAAAGAGCUCGUAGGUGGUUUGUCACGUUGUUCGUGAAAACCCACAGCUCAACUGUGGGCGUGCGAGCGAUACGGGCAGACUAGAGUACUGCAGGGGAGACUGGAAUUCCUGGUGUAGCGGUGGAAUGCGCAGAUAUCAGGAGGAACACCGGUGGCGAAGGCGGGUCUCUGGGCAGUAACUGACGCUGAGGAGCGAAAGCGUGGGGAGCGAACAG
rnacentral:rRNA from 1 species